rnacentral:rRNA from 1 species
AAACCAACAGGGAUUGCCUUAGUAGCGGCGAGUGAAGCGGCAAAAGCUCAAAUUUGAAAUCUGGCUCUUUCAGAGUCCGAGUUGUAAUUUGAAGAAGGUAUCUUUGGGUCUGGCUCUUGUCUAUGUUUCUUGGAACAGAACGUCACAGAGGGUGAGAAUCCCGUGCGAUGAGAUGAUCCAGGCCUAUGUAAAGUUCCUUCGAAGAGUCGAGUUGUUUGGGAAUGCAGCUCUAAGUGGGUGGUAAAUUCCAUCUAAAGCUAAAUAUUGGCGAGAGACCGAUAGCGAACAAGUACAGUGAUGGAAAGAUGAAAAGAACUUUGAAAAGAGAGUGAAAAAGUACGUGAAAUUGUUGAAAGGGAAGGGCUUGAGAUCAGACUUGGUAUUUUGUAUGUUACUUCUUCGGGGGUGGCCUCUACAGUUUAUCGGGCCAGCAUCAGUUUGGGCGGUAGGAGAAUUGCGUUGGAAUGUGGCACGGCUUCGGUUGUGUGUUAUAGCCUUCGUCGAUACUGCCAGCCUAGACUGAGGACUGCGGUUUAUAC